AAUAGCAUUUAUUUCCUAGAUGUUAUUUAUCAAGUGCUUACAAUGGGCCAGGCAUUGUGCUCAUUGCCCCAUACACAUGAUCUCAUUUAAUUUUCACAACCACCCCAUUAGGUUGGCACUGUUAUUACAGCCCUUGACAAAUGGGCAAGUGAGACAUAAUGUGGCAAGUUAACUUGUACACUGUCCUGAGUAAGAGAUCCCUAAAUGCAAAUUCAGGAGCCUAAGAAAGCCAUCCUGAGGCCGGAGACUCGUCCUGCUCUUCACUUGCCCGAUAUCGCCUCAGUUUUUGGACACCUUCUUCCAGAGACACCAUCCCUGGCCGCCUUAUCUAAGCAGAUGCUCCCACCCACUCAGUUUCCCUGUGCUAAGCGCUUUCCUUUCCGUCAGAACCCCGAUCCCUAUUUGUAGUGAUCCCUGUGUUUGCUUCCUUCUUGUCUAGCUUCCUUACUCGACUGCAGGCUUUAUAAGAAGGCAGCGCCCAUGCUUUCUUAUCUAUCAGUGUGGACCCAAAACUUCACCAAGUGCUCGGCACAUACAAGAUGCUCAACACAUGCAGCAAGUGUUAAAAUAAAAGAAUCCUGACCACAGUCAUGGGGGUGAAUAUUUUUAGAAAUGAAGAAGUUGAAUCUCCAGUGAUGGAGCACCUUGUCCAAGGUCACACAGCUCCUGGUAUCUGGCAGAGCUUGGACUCUAAAACUCAGGAAUUCUGAUGCUCAGGGGAGGGUUCUUUCUACUGCACACCACACACAGUGACUCCCAAUGACUGUCAGGGCACUAAAGAGAGAUGUGGGGUUUCCAGGUAUCCCACUGGGAGGCUGUGAUACCGUGACUUAUAAAAAGAAAUAGUUAUUUAGUCUUCAUCCCUGAUUUUGGCACAGAGCUCUAAAAGCCCUUGGGAUUUCUGAAAUUGUCUUUUGUUAUGUUAAUAGGUGACUUUUGAACACCCCUCCCCCAGCCUAAGGAUACGAAUGGUUGCCAGGACCACCAACCACGUGAUUAGGGGGUUGGCACUUUCAGUCCCACCCCCAGACCUCCAUGGAGGAGAAAGGAGCUGAAGGUUGAAUCAGUCACCAAUGGUGAUGACUAAAUCAAUUACGUCUAUGCAAUGAAGCUUCCAGAGAAACCCCAAAGGAGAGGUUUCAGAGAGCUUCCAGGCUGGAGAUUUGAAAAGAGUGGUACCACUGGAGAGAGCAUGGAAGCUCCAGGUUCCUUCCCACGCGCCUUGCCUGUGCACCUCUUCCGUCUGAGUUAUACGCCUUUAUAAUAAACCAGUAACCUAGUAACUAAAAAUGUUUCUCUGAGUUCUGGGAGCCGCUCCAGCUAAUUAACUGAACCCAAGGAAGGGGUCAUGGGGACCUUGGAUCUAUAGCUGGCUGGUCAGAAUCAUAGGUGACAACCUGGAGUGGCCACUGGCAGUUGAAACAGGGUGGAGAACAGUCCUGUGAGACUGAACCCUUAACCUGUGGAAUCUGACACUAUUUCUCUGUAGAUACUGUCAGAAUUGAGCUGAAUUAGAGAACACCCAGCUGGUGUUGGAGAAUUGCUUUGGAUGUCUAGGGAGAACCUCACACACUGGAAUUGGGGUGCAGCAUUUUUAGAGGCAGAUGGAAGCCAAUGAUGCUUUGGAAUCAGCAUCCUGAAGUCCUCAGCACAGAGAAAAAUGGUCCCACCCAGGGUACACUCUGCAGCUCAGGGCUGAAAAGUUUCCAUAUGUCUGCGGGUCCCACUGUUGGUACCGGGGGGUGGCAGUCGAGACUAUGUGUUUUGUGGUCAGAUCUGUGGUUCUAACCCCAGUGCAAUCACUUACUAGUUGUGUAACUUUGGGGAAGUUACAAACAUUUGUACCUAGUUUUCUCUUCUGCAACAUGGAGAAAAUAGUCAUUUAUAUCUCUCAGUGUUGAUACUCUGCCUAGAAUACCAGGGAGGUACUUAAUAAAUAAAUGUUGAACCUAUAGACCUAGAGGAACCUAUAGAUGUAUCUCUGUGCACAAGUCACUCUCUUAGCUAGCAGGGUGGUGACUGAGGUGAAAAAUGUAUUUGGAAAUUUUUGAGACUUUCAACCACGCUCUUGCUCUUUUAUACAGUAAUCUAUGUAAUCAGAAUGAUUACAGCCCACAAGCCAUAAACCGAAGUGCUUCAUGCAUUGACCAUUUUGCUUCACCAUGUGUCCCUGGAUCACUCGAGUUUUGAGCGACUACAUUUUUUCAAACUUUUUCAGCUGCUACACACCCAGCAUGAUACCUUAAGAUGCAAUGUCAGGUGAAAAUGAAAAACACAUGUUUUUUCAGUACUUGGUUUCAAGAAUUCUUGGGUUUCCAGAAAACACAGAUUUGAGAAUAAGAUUUGCAAACAGACUAUACUGAAACGUAGAUCCC
rnacentral:lncRNA from 1 species